GCUCCCGUAGCUUACUUAAAGCAUGACACUGAAGAUGUUAAGACGAACCCUAGAAAGUUCCGGGAGCA
rnacentral:tRNA from 1 species